rnacentral:rRNA from 1 species
UGAAUACGAGACGCUAAGGCGUCGAAGUAGUGUAUGUCAUACUUCCAAGAAAAGCUUGCACUGUCAUAAGUAAAAAAUGCCUGUACCAUAACCGACACAGGUGGGUAGGUAGAGUAUACUAAGGGGCGCGAGAUAACUCUCUCUAAGGAACUCGGCAAAAUAACUCCGUAACUUCGGGAGAAGGAGUACCUUAUUCUAUAAGGUUGCAAUAACAAGAUCCCAGCAACUGUUUAUCAAAAACACAGGUCUCCGCUAAGUCGUAAGACGAUGUAUGGGGGCUGACGCCUGCCCAGUGCCAGAAGGUUAAAGAAGUCGGUUAGCAUUAGCGAAGCUGGUAACUGAAGCCCUGGUGAACGGCGGCCGUAACUAUAACGGUCCUAAGGUAGCGAAAUUCCUUGUCGGGUAAGUUCCGACCCGCACGAAAGGCGUAAUGAUUUGGAUACUGUCUCGGAGAGGGGCUCGGUGAAAUAGACUUGUCUGUGAAGAUGCGGACUACCUGCACCAGGACAGAAAGACCCUAUGAAGCUUUACUGUAACUUGAAAUUGAAAUUGGACUUUAUUCGCGCAGUAUAGGUGGGAGGUGUUGAUUAUAAUCUUGCGGGAUUAUUGGAGCCAUCAGUGAGAUACCACUCUUGUAAUGUUAGAUUUCCAACUUUGAAUCAUUAUCUGGUCAAAGGACAGUUUCAGGCGGGCAGUUUGACUGGGGCGGUCGCCUCCCAAACGGUAACGGAGGCGUACAAAGGUUUCCUCUGAACGGGUAGAAAUCGUAUCUAGAGUGUAAAGGCAUAAGGAAGCUUGACUGUGAGACCUACAAGUCGAACAGGGACGAAAGUCGGUCUUAGUGAUCUGACGGUACUGAGUGGAAAGGCCGUCACUCAACGGAUAAAAGUUACUCUAGGAUAACAGGCUGAUCUCCCCCAAGAGUUCACAUCGACGGGGAGGUUUGGCACCUCGAUGUCGGCUCAUCGCAUCCUGGGGCGGUAGUACGUCCCAAGGGUUGGGCUGUUCGCCCAUGAAAGCGGUACGCGAGCUGGGUUCAGAACGUCGUGAGACAGUUCGGUCCAUAUCCGGUGUAGGCGUUAGAAUAUUGAGAGGAGCCUUCUUUAGUACGAGAGGACCGAGAAGGACAUACCUCUGGUGUACCAGUUAUCGUGCCAACGGUAAACGCUGGGUAGCUAUGUAUGGAGUGGAUAACCGCUGAAAGCAUCUAAGUGGGAAGCCCACCUCAAGAUAAGUAUUCU